rnacentral:rRNA from 1 species
UACGGAGGGGGCUAGCGUUGUUCGGAAUUACUGGGCGUAAAGCGCACGUAGGCGGAUCAGUCAGUUAGGGGUGAAAGCCCAGGGCUCAACCCUGGAACUGCCUUUAAUACUGCUGGUCUGGAGGUCGAGAGAGGAGAGUGGAAUUCCCGGUGUAGUGGUGAUAUGCGUAGAUAUCGGGAGGAACACCAGUGGCGAAGGCGGCUCUCUGGGCCCUACCUGACGCUGAGACGCGAAAGCGUGGGGAGCGAACCGG